AACAAGUUAAUAUAACACAAAGCUUCAGGAUCAACAAGAAAUAACAAGUUCAUUAACACAAAGCUUCAGGAUCAACAAGAAAUUGUGCAUCAACAUGAGACAAUUAAACUUACGUUUCAUGACUACAUAAACAAUUCCAAAGGACUAAUAAUAAUUGGAUUCUUAUUAAGAAAAGCUGAUUCUAGUAACCAAUAAUUGUAAUAUUUCGAUGAUUUCGAAGACGAUGAUAUAAAGUAAUAAGUGAUCACCUGAAUCGACAUAGCUUUCUUGUU